UGGGGAAUAUUGGGCAAUGGGCGAAAGCCUGACCCAGCGACGCCGUGUGGGUGAUGAAGGCCUUCGGGUUGUAAAGCCCUGUUGGGUGGAAAGAAGGGCUCUUUGGUGAAUAAUCUUAGAGCUUUGACGGUACCACCAGAGGAAGCACCGGCUAACUCCGUGCCAGCAGCCGCGGUAAUACGGAGGGUGCAAGCGUUGUUCGGAAUUACUGGGCGUAAAGGGCGCGUAGGUGGUUGUGUAAGUCAGAUGUGAAAUCCCGAGGCUCAACUUCGGAACUGCAUCUGAUACUGCAUGACUCGAGUGCAGCAGAGGGAAACGGAAUUCCUGGUGUAGAGGUGAAAUUCGUAGAUAUCAGGAGGAACACCGGUGGCGAAGGCGGUUUCCUGGGCUGACACUGACACUGAGGCGCGAAAGCGUGGGUAGCAAACAGGAUUAGAUACCCUGGUAGUCCACGCUGUAAACGGUGAGUACUGGGUGUGGGAGGUGUAAUGCCUU
rnacentral:rRNA from 1 species